rnacentral:rRNA from 1 species
AUGGAAUUGACAAGAAUCAUUUGGCUAGCAUCUUUUCCUAUUUUGGUCACAAUUGUGUUCACCGGAAUGGCGUGGCUACAGCGACGAGCGACGUUCUCCCCAACAACCAAACGUUCACCACCUCUGCCGCCCGAGGCUGCAGGGGCUCCCCUUCUUGGGAUCCUCCCAUCACUUCUCACCAAGGGCCCGCUGCAAGUGAUCCGCGAUGCCCACGCAGAGAUGGGGAGCGUGUUCACAGUGAGUCUGUUGCAUCGCAAGGUGACCUUCCUAGUUGGGCCAGAUGUGUCGAGCCAUUUCUUCCAAGGGCUCGACUCGGAGAUCAGCCAGGACGAGGUUUCACAGUUCACCAUUCCGACCUUCGGCCCCGGCGUCGCCUUCGACGUAGAUUUCGCCACUCGUCGCGAGCAAUUUCGCUUCUUCGGCGAUGCGAUGAAGCCGGUCAAGCUUAGGACCUACGCUCGCCUCAUGGUGCAAGAAGUUGAGGAAUACUUUGCGAGAUGGGGACCAACCGGCACGGUUGACUUGAAGAAGGAGCUGGAGCACCUCAUCACGCUCGUCGCCAGCCGGUGCUUGUUCGGGGAGGAGGUCCGGGCCAAGAUGCUGGGUGAGGUCGCAACGCACCUCCAUGAACUCAAUGACGGCAUGCGUCUCGUCACCAUCCUAUUCCCGCACCUGCCGAUCCUGGCGCACCGCAGACGCGACACGGCGCGCGCUAGGCUCGGCGAGAUAUUCUCCGGCAUCGUUAGUUCCCGCAAAACAAGCUACCCCGAUGGUGGCCCAAACGACAUGCUGCAGUGCCUGAUCGAUUCCAGGUACAAAGACGGCCGCGCCACCACCGAGACGGAGGUCGUCGGGAUGCUGGUCUCGGCGCUGUUCGCGGGGCAGCACACAAGCUCCAGCACGGGCACGUGGACUGGAGCGCGCCUCCUCGCGCACGCCAAUGGCAAUCACCUGCGCGCUGCCGUCCAGGAGCAGGAGCAGAUUGUGGAGCGGCACGGGGACCGCGUGGACUACGAGGUCCUGCAGGAGAUGGAUAUCCUCCACCGCUGUGUCAAGGAGGUUCUGCGGCUCCACCCGCCGGCGAUGAUGCUGCUGCGCCACGCGCGGCGGAGCUUCACCGUGCGAACCAGGGAGGGCGACGAGUACCAAAUCCCGGAGGGGCGUACGGUCGCAAGCCCGCUAGUGAUCCACAACCGUCUCCCGCAUGUGUACAAGGACCCGGAGAGGUACGAGCCGGACCGGUUCGGCCCCGGCAGAGGGGAGAACGGGGCCGGCGAAGCGUUCUCGUACACGGCGUUCGGUGGUGGGCGGCAUGCCUGCGUGGGCGAGGCGUUCGCGUACAUGCAGAUCAAGGUGAUAUGGAGCCACCUGCUGAGGAACUUCGAGAUGGAGAUGGUGUUGCCAUUCCCUGAGACGAACUGGAACGUGGUCAUGCCGGGGCCCAAGGGGAAGGUCAUGGUCCGCUACAACAGGAGGAUGUCAGCGGCCGCGUAA